UACGUAGGGUGCAAGCGUUAAUCGGAAUUACUGGGCGUAAAGCGUGCGCAGGCGGUUUUGUAAGUCUGUCGUGAAAUCCCCGGGCUUAACCUGGGAAUGGCGAUGGAGACUGCAAGGCUAGAGUUUGGCAGAGGGGGGUAGAAUUCCACGUGUAGCAGUGAAAUGCGUAGAGAUGUGGAGGAACACCGAUGGCGAAGGCAGCCCCCUGGGAUAACACUGACGCUCAUGCACGAAAGCGUGGGGAGCAAACAGG
rnacentral:rRNA from 1 species